AGUGGCGGACGGGUGAGUAAUGUCUGGGAAACUGCCUGAUGGAGGGGGAUAACUACUGGAAACGGUAGCUAAUACCGCAUAACGUCGCAAGACCAAAGAGGGGGACCUUCGGGCCUCUUGCCAUCAGAUGUGCCCAGAUGGGAUUAGCUAGUAGGUGGGGUAACGGCUCACCUAGGCGACGAUCCCUAGCUGGUCUGAGAGGAUGACCAGCCACACUGGAACUGAGACACGGUCCAGACUCCUACGGGAGGCAGCAGUGGGGAAUAUUGCACAAUGGGCGCAAGCCUGAUGCAGCCAUGCCGCGUGUAUGAAGAAGGCCUUCGGGUUGUAAAGUACUUUCAGCGGGGAGGAAGGGAGUAAAGUUAAUACCUUUGCUCAUUGACGUUACCCGCAGAAGAAGCACCGGCUAACUCCGUGCCAGCAGCCGCGGUAAUACGGAGGGUGCAAGCGUUAAUCGGAAUUACUGGGCGUAAAGCGCACGCAGGCGGUUUGUUAAGUCAGAUGUGAAAUCCCCGGGCUCAACCUGGGAACUGCAUCUGAUACUGGCAAG
rnacentral:rRNA from 1 species